rnacentral:lncRNA from 1 species
UUAAGAGAAAGAAAGUCUGAAUUUAUAUGGCAUAGCUUGGCGCCUGCUAUGACGCAUCAGCUGUCUUGUCACUAGACAAGUUGUGGCUCGGCGCGUGCUUGCACUUAUCGACUGUUGUGUCAGUGAGUAGACGGUUGACUCAGUCACGCUCCUAAGGCCUGACUGGUAGUUUGUCAUCGAACUACCGAAGUCUCCAUUAGGGCGUGGGGGCUGUUAGAAGAAGCUUCCUCGUGCAAGGUACCUUAUGUCCUUUGAUACGCUUUGGGAUCGCCGCCGACUGUUGUCCCUUGUCCAAAUUUCGCGCGCGGUUACUCUAUCAAACUUGCUAAAUAGCGACAUCUCGGGGGUACUAGUGGCCUUAGCUCUGACAGUUCUGGUGUUCGUGGUGUCUCGACAGAGCUCCGGCGUAGGGGCCACAGAACUUGCUCCAUAGCGAUAGUUUAGUAGCGGUGUCCGCACUAGCAAUAUCAAAAACCAUAGUUGUAUAUUUUAUCCCCUUACACAAAUCCUUUGCUUCAUUAAUUAAAUUUAGUUAAUCUCUCUCUCUCUCUCUCUCAUUGCUGUUGUGGAAAUAUUAGCUAGUUCUGUAUUUUUGAUGUAAAUUACUAAUUUGUUGCUGUUACUGGUUUUGUACAUUUGCAAGUUGUCAUGCUGAAUUUGUGUAUGACCUUUGUUUACCGAAGAAAGUCUUUUUCAAAGAUUCUAGAUAAAUAUCUAUAUGAAAUCGAGAUAUUUAUAUUUAAAAAUUCUAUAUUUGUAUAAAUUUAUGAUAAUAAAAAUAAAAAAAUAAUUUAUUUUAAAUAAAGAAAAAAAGGUAUAAUUAAAUAAAGAGAAUAUAUAAAUGAUUAGCCAAUGCUUUUCGAAAAAUAUAGAUACUAGUAUAUAAGUGUAAUGAGUAUAAUUAUUGGGGUAUUAUAGUAAAACAUAUAGAGUGCGAGUCGGAUUUUCUGUAAAAUUUAUAUCCUUUUUUGAACUUUAGAUGGGUUAGUAUCCACUGGUAUUUGACGUUGGGUGGGUGUUGCAGUGUAGUUAAGUAGGUCACAUGCUAGCAGUGCGCCUUAAAAUGCGCAUAUGUAUAAUAAAAAUAAUAGGUACACAUCUAAAAAUGUACACACCCAGACACACCCUCUUAAAAAUACAGUGAGACCCGCCUUAAUUACGAUUUUUAAAACUCUAAUUACAACAAUGAUAGGUACACACUCAAAAGCUCACUUUUGAGUGUGUACAAAAUACACAUUUUCACAGUAGGACAUGUCCUAAUUAGGAUUUUUAUAGGUAGACAUCCAUUUUUUGGUGUGUACAAGACAUACUCUCUCACAAAUACAAUGGAGUCCGUCCUAAUUAGAGUUAAAAUUAGGGUUUUUAAAACUCUAAUUACAACAAUGAUAGGUACACACUCACUUUUGAGUGUGUACAAAAUACACUUUUUCACAGUGGGACAUGUCCUAAUUAGGGCGGACCCCACUGUAUUUGUGAGAAAGUGUAUAUUGUACACACCAAAAAAUAGAUGUCUACCUAUAAAAAUCCUAAUUAGGACAGGUCCCACUGUGAAAAGGUAUAUUUUGUACACACUCAAAAGUGAGUGUGUACCUAUCAUUAAAACUCUAAUUAGGGCAGGCCCCACUGUAUUUGUGAGAGAGUGUGUCUUGUACACACAAAAAAAUGGAUGUCUACCUAUAAAAAUUCUAAUUAGGACAGGUCCCACUGUAAAAAGAUGUAUUUUGUACACACUCAAAAGUAAGUGUGUACCUAUCAUUGUUGUACGUAUAAUAUCCCUCAUCCACGUGAUUACGUAUAAUAUCCCUCAUCCACGUGAUCACCACAACCCAUUAUUCCUGAGAAAAGUCUAAUUAAGAAAGAAAAGGCCUCCGCCCUCCAAAGGGCCUAAACUCGGUUGAGAAUUUGUCUUAUUUUGAACAAUCACGGGGCCUAAGCCCUACUGUUCCAAGCCUAACCUCCUUAGAUCAGUUGGUUUUGGCAAUUUCAAAGAUGACCAUUCCUAAAUCCUACGUACCCUCUUCUUCUACUUCUCUUCUUGGGAUCUGAUGGAUAACCAUUUUUCUGUCUGAUGGUCAUGUGCCAAGCACGUGCACUUUCAUUUUUGUAGCCAAGUCAUGACCCGAGUAAUUUAGAAAAUUCUGUCAAGAAACCAAUUAAUUAACCGAGUUAGUACUUUUCUCUCUUUAUUUUUUAUUUACCAGAAAACUCUGGCGGCUACUUUCGUAUGCUAGCAAUGUAUGUGUAAUUUGGUGUAAACAGCAUCUAACCUUUGAAUUUGUAUGAUACAAAUCUCUAGUGGACGAUUCAAGUGAUUUAACGGAUGGGAUGGCAGAAAGCAACAAAAAUUUGAGCGCCACUACAUUAAUUUUAUCAAAAUAUAACAAAAUGACACGGUCAGUCGUAAAACCAAAAAUAGUUUCAUUUUGAAAAAGUAGCUCAUAGGAUUAGAGAUGCUCUACUAUGGUCAAUGGAGGACAACAGCUAACCUAAUUCAACGUUU